AGUGAACGCUGGCGGUAGGCCUAACACAUGCAAGUCGAACGGCAGCACAGUAAGAGCUUGCUCUUACGGGUGGCGAGUGGCGGACGGGUGAGGAAUACAUCGGAAUCUACUUUUUCGUGGGGGAUAACGUAGGGAAACUUACGCUAAUACCGCAUACGACCUACGGGUGAAAGCAGGGGAUCUUCGGACCUUGCGCGAUUGAAUGAGCCGAUGUCGGAUUAGCUAGUUGGCGGGGUAAAGGCCCACCAAGGCGACGAUCCGUAGCUGGUCUGAGAGGAUGUACAGCCACACGGGAACUGAGACACGGUCCAGACUCCUACGGGAGGCAGCAGUGGCGAAUAUUGGACAAUGGGCGGAAGCCUGAUCCAGCCAUACCGCGUGGGUGAAGAAGGCCUUCGGGUUGUAAAACCCUUUUGUUGGGAAAGAAAAGCAGCAGGUUAAUACCCCGCUGUUCUGACGGUACCCAAAGAAUAAGCACCGGCUAACUUCGUG
rnacentral:rRNA from 1 species